rnacentral:rRNA from 1 species
AACACGUGGGCAACCUGCCUGUAAGUUGGGGAUAACUCCGGGAAACCGGGGCUAAUACCGAAUGAUAAAGUGUGGCGCAUGCCACGCUUUUGAAAGAUGGUUUCGGCUAUCGCUUACAGAUGGGCCCGCGGUGCAUUAGCUAGUUGGUAGGGUAAUGGCCUACCAAGGCAACGAUGCAUAGCCGACCUGAGAGGGUGAUCGGCCACACUGGGACUGAGACACGGCCCAGACUCCUACGGGAGGCAGCAGUAGGGAAUCUUCCGCAAUGGACGAAAGUCUGACGGAGCAACGCCGCGUGUAUGAAGAAGGUUUUCGGAUCGUAAAGUACUGUUGUUAGAGAAGAACAAGGAUAAGAGUAACUGCUUGUCCCUUGACGGUAUCUAACCAGAAAGCCACGGCUAACUACGUGCCAGCAGCCGCGGUAAUACGUAGGUGGCAAGCGUUGUCCGGAUUUAUUGGGCGUAAAGCGCGCGCAGGCGGUCUUUUAAGUCUGAUGUGAAAGCCCCCGGCUUAACCGGGGAGGGUCAUUGGAAACUGGAAGACUGGAGUGC